UACGAAGGGGGCUAGCGUUGCUCGGAAUCACUGGGCGUAAAGGGUGCGUAGGCGGGUCUUUAAGUCAGGGGUGAAAGCCUGUGGCUCAACCACAGAAUUGCCUUUGAUACUGUUCGGCUCGAGACCGGAAGAGGUAAGUGGAACUGCGAGUGUAGAGGUGAAAUUCGUAGAUAUUCGCAAGAACACAGUGGCGAAGGCGGCUUACUGGUCCGGUUCUGACGCUGAGGCGCGAAAGCGUGGGGAGCAAACAGG
rnacentral:rRNA from 1 species